GGUGGCUCAGUGGUAGAGCGCUUGCCUAGCAUGCCAGAGGACCUGGGUUCGAUUCCUCAGCACCA
rfam:Dipodomys ordii contig_79975, whole genome shotgun sequence.